GAUGAACGCUGGCGGCGUGCCUAAUACAUGCAAGUCGAGCGAACGGACGAGAAGCUUGCUUCUCUGAUGUUAGCGGCUGACGGGUGAGUAACACGUGGAUAACCUACCUAUAAGACUGGGAUAACUUCGGGAAACCGGAGCUAAUACCGGAUAAUAUUUUGAACCGCAUGGUUCAAAAGUUAAAGACGGUCUUGCUGUCACUUAUAGAUGGAUCCGCGCUGCAUUAGCUAGUUGGUAAGGUAACGGCUUACCAAGGCAACGAUGCGUAGCCGACCUGAGAGGGUGAUCGGCCACACUGGAACUGAGACACGGUCCAGACUCCUACGGGAGGCAGCAGUAGGGAAUAUUCCGCAAUGGGCGAAAGCCUGACGGAGCAACGCCGCGUGAGUGAUGAAGGUCUUCGGAUCGUAAAACUCUGUUAUUAGGGAAGAACAUAUGUGUAAGUAACUGUGCACAUCUUGACGGUACCUAAUCAGAAAGCCACGGCUAACUACGUG
rnacentral:rRNA from 1 species